rnacentral:rRNA from 1 species
CUGCUGCCUUCCGUAGGAGUCUGGGCCGUAUCUCAGUCCCAAUGUGGCCGUCCACCCUCUCAGGCCGGCUACUGAUCGUCGCCUUGGUGGGCCGUUACCCCGCCAACAAGCUAAUCAGACGCGGGUCCAUCUUACACCACCGGAGUUUUUCACACAAAUCCAUGCGGCUUCGUGCGCUUAUGCGGUAUUAGCACCUAUUUCUAAGUGUUAUCCCCCAGUGUAAGGCAGGUUACCCACGCGUUACUCACCCGUCCGCCACUAAG